rnacentral:lncRNA from 1 species
GCUCCCUUGGCUAGUGGAGCUGGACUCUGCUGCAAGCUAUUGCUUUUUAAACAUUCAGGGCAGCUUGACUUGCUACAAGUGAGCAUGCUCACACUACCAGGAGCUUAACUUCUGUUGCCCUUCUCAGCUUCUCUGUUCUAGCACAAAAAAUGAACAGUAUAAGACCUGGAGUGCUUACCCUGCUCCAGCCGGUCCCACGAGAGCACAUGUGAACAAGAAGAACCAAAAAUGUACAUCCGAGACCUUGUUUCUGCUCUGAACGUGCCCCUGUUGUCUUUCAGCCAUACAUCUGACCUUAGCAUUCAGGGUUUAAUGCUGUAGGAAACUGGCCAUACAGGAAAUCCGAGAGCAACGCCGGGUAUUGUUUCUUUUCAACAGCCCCAGUCAUAAAGCACUGCAGUUGUGGAGCAGGGAGCUGCUGCAGCCAGAGCAGCGAGUCCUCCGAGAUGUGAAGUCAGAGUGAAUUCCAAGUCACCAGAGCUAGCACACAUCUACCAAGGCAUGAAUGAAGAAAAUACACUUGAUUUGGAUUCCAACGGCAUAAACUCCAACAAGGAUCAAGCAAAAGAAGCUUUAUACAGCAAAAGUGCAACCAACUUCUGUGCAUCACCAGGCAUCCUUUCCACUGCUCUGUGAGCACUGAGGGUAUGACUGCUUUGCAUCAAGCAACCACUGCACUCAGCUGUACCAAACACACAGGAGCUUGGUCCUGAAGUCAGAAGCGAGGUGCUGGAUUUGGCAUUGAUCCCACCACAGCUCAGGUUAAACACAGCAGCAGCCAUUCCAUCUGCACCGAGCAGUACUGACUUCUUCUGGUCACAGCUACCCAGCUUCUCUUCUCAUGGAAUUCAAUUUUCAGCCUCAAAAACAUGAGUCCAAACAAGCUUUGAUUGGCCGCAGAAGCAUAUUCUGCUCUAACUGGCACUUAAGAGACAUGUGAUAGUUUCUAGUUUGCUUCCAGGCCUAAAUGUCAUACCUAUAAAUUGUCUGUUGAGCAAAAAGAAC